rnacentral:rRNA from 1 species
CCUACGGGUGGCAGCAGUCGAGAAUUAUUCACAAUGGGGGAAACCCUGAUGGUGCGACGCCGCGUGGGGGAAUGAAGGUCUUCGGAUUGUAAACCCCUGUCAUGUGGGAGCAAAUUAAAAAGAUAGUACCACAAGAGGAAGAGACGGCUAACUCUGUGCCAGCAGCCGCGGUAAUACAGAGGUCUCAAGCGUUGUUCGGAAUCACUGGGCGUAAGGCGUGCGUAGGCUGUUUCGUAAGUCGUGUGUGAAAGGCGCGGGCUCAACCCGCGGACGGCACAUGAUACUGCGAGACUAGAGUAAUGGAGGGGGAACCGGAAGUCGCGGUGUAGCAGUGAAAUGCGUAGAUAUCGAGAGGAACACUCGUGGCGAAGGCGGGUUCCUGGACAUUAACUGACGCUGAGGCACGAAGGCCAGGGGAGCGAAAGGGAUUAGAUACCCCAGUAGUC